CUAUUAAGUGUGUGUGCUUGUAGUGUUCUGCUUGUUUAUGUGCGACGAAAACCGCCAGCCAGAUGCCCGAUAAUACCUGAGCCGUGUGUGAUUGCUUCGGAUGUGACUCGUGCGGCGACGUGCUGUCGUGCAGCGGGGACGCACAAUGCGGGUCCUGGAGUGAUUCAUCCCCGGCGAGUGAUAUCUCCCGGCCGCGGCUGGAAUUGACAGAAAAAUCAAGAUGGCCUCCGAGACUCCUUUGCCCCCGGCUGCUACGCCGGACACCGAUUCGGUGGUUGUGUAUAGCACGAACGCGGUGGAAGAACGGGAGAUCACCGUCACAGAGCGGGCACCAAAGCCCAAGCCACCUCCAAUUGAUGUUACCGCAGCACAGCAAUACCAGCAGCCGGACAACAAGACGCCCACGACGGUGCAGCCGCAGACGCCUGGCAGUUCAGCCUACAAGAGCAAGCUGGACAAGGAGAAGAAGAUUGGCCAUCGGCGGGUCGACGAGGAGGGCCAGAUCACUUACAAAAAGAUUCAAACAUCACAAAUUAUAGGUUCAAUUCAACUAGGCAUAGGCUACGCCGUUGGCAGUUUGGCAUCGAAACCAGAGCGUGAUUUAUUGAUGCAGGACUUUGCCAUGGUAGAGUCAAUCUUCUUUCCUGGGGAGGGGAGCAAUCUCACGCCAGCACAUCACUAUAGCGACUUCAAAUUCAAGGCGUACGCUCCGGUCGCCUUUCGAUACUUUAGGGACCUGUUUAGCAUUAAAACUGAAGAUUUUUUGAUGUCCUUGUGCCACGAACCCAUGAGGGAGCUGACAAAUCCUGGUGCCAGCGGGAGUGUAUUUUACCUCACCAAUGACGAUGAGUUCAUCGUAAAAACAGUUCAGCACAAGGAAGCCGAAUUUUUGCAGAACCUGCUUCCAGGUUACUACAUGAACCUGAACCAGAACCCACGAACACUGCUGCCCAAGUUCUAUGGCCUCUACUGCUACCAGUGCGGCGGCAAGAAUGUGCGCGUUGUGCUGAUGAACAACCUCCUACCCUCGGUGGUGCCCAUGCACCAGAAGUACGACCUCAAGGGCUCCACCUACAAGCGCAAAGCGAACAAGCACGAGCGCAGCAAGCGUUCCCCGACCUUCAAGGACCUCGACUUUCUCGAGCACCAUCCCGACGGCAUUCUGCUCGAGGCCGACACAUAUAACGCUCUCAUCAAGACUAUUCAGAGGGACUGCCGGGUCUUGGAGAGCUUCAAAAUAAUGGACUACAGCCUCCUCGUAGGCAUUCACAACAUCGACCAGGCGGCAAGGGAACGAACAGAGCAGCAGAAUCAGGGUGCAAAGGAUGAAGUGAAACUCAAUUCAGCUGGCUCAGAAGAAGACUCCAGCUUUAAACCAACAGGAUCUGGGCUGACGCGGAGUAAGUCCGUAAACCGGCAACGGCUGGCGAACUUCUCCACCGCCAUGGAAUCAAUCCAGGCUGAUGUAGAGCCCAUUGAUCAUGACGAGGAUGUUCCAACCGGUGGCAUCCCAGCGAGGAACUCCAAAGGAGAGCGACUUCUCUUGUUUAUUGGAGUCAUCGACAUUUUGCAAAGCUACCGGCUCAAGAAAAAGCUUGAGCAUACCUGGAAGUCCAUGUUUCAUGACGGGGACUCUGUUUCAGUGCACAGGCCCAGCUUCUAUGCACAACGGUUUCAGGACUUCAUGGCCAAAAGAGUCUUCAAGAAGAUUCCCUCUCUGGAUCUCCCUGAAAUCAAGGGCCCUCAUCGCAAAUUUAGAGCCCUGGUGUCUAGUGUCUUAGCACUGAAGCACUCUCCUUCAAAGAGGAAAGGAGCUCCUGGGAGAACACGUCAGGUUUCAGCCAACGAACAGGAUGUCAUCAAGGAAGAAACAGAAGCGGACACAUCGCCAAGCAGAGAUCAAGGCUCGGACUUGCCAGCGUCUGAGAAGAACUCUGUGUUCAAGUUCAGUGAUGGAGACACGGCAGCCAUGAUGAAAGAAGCACUGAGCUUUUCUUCGCACCCCGCUGGCACAGAGCGGAGCAAAUCCAACUCCGAACAUGUGUCAAAGUCGGUUGUGCUACGUUCGCCUGCCACUGUUGUCACCAUCCGAGCCUCGGAAACAGUCAGCGUGAGUUCCCUGGGGCCAUCUGCCGUGCGCAACCUGACGUGGACUCCCCCCCACAGUGUUGAAGGCUCUACCCCCACACACACGGAAGGCACGCCUUCGUUUACGGAGUCCAGUUCCAGCGGAGACAUUGCUUGCCCAACAACACCCCUUAAGAACUGGAUGAACAAGGGGUCACAGCCUUCGCUCGGCGACUCACAAGGGCUACACGACAGUGAAACGCCACAGGGUGGACCACUCGUUGUCAUGGAAACGUCAGUGUGACUGAUGCACUCAGGCCAGUACAAAAGCAAAAACCUUGAGCAUUGCCAGGCUUUCGCUGCCUUUGCACAUUUUGGCCGUGCGGCCACUUCGCCAUUGGAGAUCAACCAGUGGCCAGCACUGCCUCUGUACGCCACGACCUCCUUAAUCCCAUUAACGAGGAUUGAGCGAAGAGAAAAACAAACAAAAAAGGCCCGCCUUGUGAACGACUGUUCUCUGUGUGCUGUAGUGUUGGUGGCAUCAAGAGGAACCACCAUCGGCCUGCAUGUGUGUGCGUGUUCCGUGUCGUUUACGCCCCUGGCCUCGUGCGCCCUCCCUACCCAACCUGACGAUGCUGGAUACUUUUUCGAUGUAUCAGUGUUUAAUGUUAUAUUCAUUCGCCCCCUUUAUUUUAUUUUUUAUUAUUAUUAGCUUCUUGUCUGCUUGUCUUUGUUGAUUCCGCCGAAGUCUCUACGAACAAACCACUAAUCGGCACAGCAUCUUGAUCAACUAACAGCGUGUGACACAUCACGAUCAGCCAUGCAUCUGCAGCCUGCCUGAAGUUCUACUCAUGGUCACGUGAUGAAAAAAUAUGAAUGAAAAGCUUGUGCAACUGCUGACUGUGCUGUCUCGGGCCUUGACAGCGAGAUUGUUUUGCUGUAUAGUUUGUCUGACAUUGUAUAGGAUACAUGUGUGGUCUCUGUUUUCUUCAGGGAUGGAGCUGUCCUCACUUUUUGUUGUUUUUUAAUUGCAUAUGCUUAUGAUUGUUUUUUGUCUCCCACACUGGAAGUUCACCUCAGUUAAUUCACUGUCCUUUGUCUUUAUGUUCGUGGUCACAGUCAUUCUGUGUAGCACUGCUGCUUCAGUCCACCUUAGGUGAUUAGCGAAGUCAUCGUGUCAGGAAAAGCAGGCUUGGGAAGGUUUGUUAACUUAUCGUGAUGAAAUUGUGGUGAGAAAAAGAGACAUAAAAGCAAGAAAAGGCAACAAGGCACCAAAGCUAUAGACCUGUUCACUUCCUUCUGAAGUCGGUCUUUUUUGCACUAUGUGGUUUUGUCAUGAGUUUUCUUGUGCAACUAGCUGUCUUCUGUUGUGGCCUACACUAGAUACCAAGGAGCUGUGCAUUCUUUUUUGUUUUUCGCAGUUGUGCUUGCUGUAGCAUUCUAUUAGGGGUGUGGGAAUGUUCUAAAUUUCAAAUAUCAUUCGGAACAGUUUUGUUUUGUAUCGGUGUACUCAGUUUGAGAAAAUUGAUUACUUGAAAUAUUUGACUAUGGCUGAAUGUAUGGGGUUAUUACUAUGAUCAUUUAAGCCUGCCUGCUGUCGAUAAAGGUUCAUGAAUAUGGUUCACUGGCCGCUUCACUUUUCCAUGACAAGACUUUCACUAUUUGCUCUCUUGCAAGCUGCUUAGUUGAACAGACUGUCAAUAGCAUUGACUAUAUUGAAAGAAACAAAAUUUACUAUCCCUUGUUUUAUUUCCCCCACUUUGUUUUUUUUUACUUUCAGAAGUUAAAUGGCAUUGCAAACCUAUAUAUUUAAUAUACGUAUUUGAUUUGAUUUUAAAAAAAUUUCACUGUGGAAACACUUCUAAUUUUCCCUUUAAUCACAACUUUCUUACGGUUGGAGGCAGUAAGACACUGAACCGUGGUGGGCAGUUUUGAAGCAGUGGUGAAGGAGCAAAAGUGAACGCAGUUUAAGCAUCAGUAGCCAGUGAUUGACGAUCUAUAUGAACAGUUGGCUUUGUGUUAGUGUUGUCGUCGUUUUGAAAAUGCCUUCAGCAUUGCAACGCAAUACUGCUGUUAUCUAUAGGUACACGGUGGGGGGGGGGGGGGGGGGUGAGAGCAUGUAUUAUACUACCUAUUGUCGUCCCCAGUUGUUUGCACCAUGUGAUCCGUGUACAGAGACUGCUGUCACCAUGUAGGCUAUCACUUCACUGUGCCAUGAAUGUUGUCCGCCUUUACUUAUUGUCCGAUUUGUGUGUAUAGUGAUAGAGGCCUAGGCAUCCUCUCCGUAUGUGUCACAGAAAAGUGCCAGCUCAGCUUGACCUUAGCAGAUAUAUUUAGUUUCACAAAUGUGCACUUCAAGCCUUCUCAGCCAAUGUCUCCCCCGAGUGAUGUGUAACAUACGUACCCUUGAGGCUGUUCGCAAACUGAGUGGAACAAAGGUGCUAGUGUGUCUACCUGUUUUUAGUCUUUUAAUCAGUGCAAUGUGCCGUGCAAGUUGCAGAAGCCUUUUAAAAGUGCAUGAAAUAGUGAUGUUACAAUUGCAAUCUUCCCGAUGUAAAAUAAAAGGUAUCUUCUCUUUUUCACUUUUGUGGCAUGCAUAGUUGAUGUUAAGUUAACUGUGCACGAAUUUUCUCUACUAUUGUCACUCACAAGUGCUGCCUCUGGUUGUUACGAUUUCUCUGUCCUUUUAAGGAGAGAGACAUAUAUUAAAUGUGUAUUUCGUUUUCUUUCCUACUCUUAUUUGUAGCGAAACUGUGCUUGCAUUAAGCUGUGAGGCAAAUUUUCACGUACUGUAUUGUUUACUAUGCAGAACUUCGACGAGUUAGCUAUAAACAAUGGAAUUGUGUCGGCAUAGCAUGUGUGGGCUGGUUGAGUGGCUCUUUUAAUUCAACUUUAUUUCAAACAAAUUCGUGAUAGCUAUGCAAUUUGGCGUGCACCAUUUCGUUAAAUCUCGAUUGAAUAUGUGCAGUGGCAGAGACUUGUCUGCUUUUCUCACAAAGCAGUGGAAAAAAUAAAUGGUCAUGCUGCUGCUGUACUUGCAUUAGAUGUCCACCGAGUUCGUCACGAUGGCUGACUCACAAACCUGUGCUUUUUUCUCCCCCUCAUAACUGCAAUCUCCAGGUCUAGAUUGGGUGAGUCACGUAGAGAGCAGUAGUGUGUCUUGGUGCCUUUGGUUGACAGUUUUCAGUUUUUCCUUUCUGAAUGCUGCAUCUACUACCAGCCGCUGGUUUACAAAAUGCAGCUGCAUUAACAGCUGCUUUUUUUCCCUCGCCACUUGCAUGAUGAAGCUGGCUUUGGGUUUUCUAACCUCCCAUUUUAUUUAGAGCAGAUUACAAAUCUCUGCAGAUUUUAUCAUGAACAGUUGCAUCCAGUUUUACAUUGUCAUUUUUUUUAGACAGAUACAUUCCAGAAAUGUUUGAGCUAAUGAAAUAACUUUUAUAUUUGUACCAAGGAAUUAUCACCAAAUGAGCUGAAAUUUGAUGCAUGAACAAAAACUGCAUUCAAUCUUGCUACGAAUCUUCAAUUUUUGUUGCCCAUUUCACCUUUCCUGCAUUUUAAGCCAAACUGCAUUAGUAGGUUAGGUCAUUUCUUGUGUUUCUUUAAAGUAUCCCAGUGCCAUCGGGCUGAGGUACACAUGGGAACACAAGGUAAUGCAUGUUUUAUCCCUUCUCCUUGGGUGUUACUGGAAGUGAGUGUCGUGCGGCCCCCAGUAUGGUCAACUGGGAGUUCGGCGUAAAAGGGGAAUUACUUUUUGCCUGAGCAAUUCACACACAGGAUGCAUGUGUUUCCUGUUGCGGCCUGUACCAUGUUUUUUUUUUUGGUGAUUUGGGUAGUUAGAAAUUAAUUACUUGGACCAAACAAGAAGAUGUGUGCAUGCAGUGCGGGCAAAGCUCAUGCAGGUGUAACAUUUUCUCUGUUUUCAGACACGUCUCUAGUCUUCCACAGAAACUGCAACCCACUUUGCAAUGACCAGCCUCCUCCCCAGCUUCCUCCUCUUCCCUGGCUUUUCAAGCGCUCCAAGGUCACAGGUGUCAAGAGUAUAAUUGUACAUACUAACGACUUCUUCUUCUUCGUGUCCCGUAAAGAAAAUAACUCUUGAGGGAUUCACUCCUCCUUCCCCCUCCACAUACCAUGCGGCACUGCGGGCAACCUGCUCUUACUCUUCAAAUCUUGGCCCCUGUGCCAUUCUCUCUCUUGCCUUGCAUCACAGCAAGUUGUGUUUACCAUGCGCUUCCGCAGCUGCUUUCAUUUUGUACAUAGUUAAAUAAAGCAAGGACACCGAGUG